CUCCCUCCCCGUUUCCACCGCCGGCGGAAGGAUCGGAGAAACACGCCUUAGGGUUUGGCUCCGCCCGCCGACGCCGGCCGGGAGGCGCUCCCCGACCUGAGGCCGUGAGCUCCUCUGCCGCCCCCAAGGAGCAUCUUCUACCCGAGCACGGAGAACCACAAGUUUCCAUUUAAAUUUGGCCACCAUGGUGUGGGAGCUUAUCGAGGUCGCCGGCAACCUAACUCCCCUCCCACAUUCUACAGUUGAUGUUGUGGCUGCGAAGAUUGAAUCCAAGGUAGCCAAUACUGUCAUUAGGCAACUUAAUCAGGUGUGCCCACUGGAGAAUCUGCGGCAUGUUAAGCGGGUGCGUCGUCGUAUUCAGUGUG